CUACGGGUCGCUGCAGUGAGGAAUAUUGCACAAUGGGGGGAACCCUGAUGCAGCAACGCCGCGUGGAGGAUGACGCAUUUCGGUGUGUAAACUCCUUUUAUAUGUCAAGAAAAUGACGGUAGCAUAUGAAUAAGCACCGGCUAACUCCGUGCCAGCAGCCGCGGUAAUACGGAGGGUGCAAGCGUUACUCGGAAUCACUGGGCGUAAAGGACGCGUAGGCGGGUUGGAAAGUCAGGUGUGAAAUCCUACAGCUUAACUGUAGAACUGCACUUGAAACUUCUAAUCUAGAGUAUGGGAGGGGGAGAUGGAAUUAGUGGUGUAGGGGUAAAAUCCGUAGAUAUCACUAGGAAUACCUAAGCGAAGGCGAUCUCGUGGAGCAUUACUGACGCUAAGGCGUGAAAGCGUGGGGAGCAAACCGGAUUAGAUACCCCAGUAGUC
rnacentral:rRNA from 1 species